rnacentral:rRNA from 1 species
CGCAUCUGUGCAUGCAGCAUAUCAAUAAGCGGAGGAAAAGAAACUAACAAGGAUUCCCUUAGUAACGGCGAGUGAAGCGGGAAGAGCUCAAAUUUGAAAUCUUCAAGGUUUUACCUUGACGAAUUGUAGUUUAAAGAAGUGUUUUCUGUUGAAGUUUUGGUAAAAGUUCUUUGGAAUAGGACAUCAUAGAGGGUGAGAAUCCCGUAUUUGACCAUUAUUUUCAGCUGUGUGAUACACUUUCAAAGAGUCGGAUUGUUUGGGAAUGCAGUCCAAAAUGGGUGGUAAAUUUCAUCUAAAGCUAAAUAUUGGCGAGAGACCGAUAGCGAACAAGUUACCGUGAGGGAAAGAUGAAAAGAACUUUGAAAAGAGAGUUAAACAGUACGUGAAAUUGUCAAAAGGGAAGCGUUUGACACCAGUGUUGUUUUCUCGAAAAUCAAUUAAAAAGAGUUAGAUUUUGUUGUGUAUUGACCUUAACAGCUUGCAUUUCAAUUUUCUUGCUUUUUUUAAUGCACUUUUCGUUUAACAAGUCAACAUCAGUUUCUUUUGUUGUAAAAAGGUCAUUGGAAGGUGGCUUUCUUUUCGGAGAAAGUGUUUAUAGCCUUUGACUCCUGCAAUCGGAGAGACUGAGGUCUGCAGCGUAGAUCCUUCGGGGUUAGAUACAUUUGUGCUAAGUUAUAGCUUUUUAUAGACAACUUGUUGACUAUGAUUAGUCUUGUAGCUUACUCGCUUAUGCUAUUUUACCUACGCUUAGGAUGUUGACACACGCGCGUGCUCG